rnacentral:rRNA from 1 species
AGUGAACGCUGGCGGUAGGCCUAACACAUGCAAGUCGAACGGCAGCACAGUAAGAGCUUGCUCUUACGGGUGGCGAGUGGCGGACGGGUGAGGAAUACAUCGGAAUCUACUUUUUCGUGGGGGAUAACGUAGGGAAACUUACGCUAAUACCGCAUACGACCUACGGGUGAAAGCAGGGGAUCUUCGGACCUUGCGCGAUUGAAUGAGCCGAUGUCGGAUUAGCUAGUUGGCGGGGUAAAGGCCCACCAAGGCGACGAUCCGUAGCUGGUCUGAGAGGAUGAUCAGCCACACUGGAACUGAGACACGGUCAAGACUCCUGCGGGAGGCAGCAGUGGGGAAUAUUGGACAAUGGGCGCAAGCCUGAUCCAGCCAUACCGCGUGGGUGAAGAAGGCCUUCGGGUUGUAAAGCCCUUUUGUUGGGAAAGAAAAGCAGCAGGUUAAGACCACGCUGUUCUGACGGUACCCAAAGAAUAAGCACCGGCUAACUUCGUG